AGCGUACACGGUGGAUGCCCUGGCAGUCAGAGGCGAUGAAGGACGUGCUAAUCUGCGAUAAGCGUCGGUAAGGUGAUAUGAACCGUUAUAACCGGCGAUUUCCGAAUGGGGAAACCCAGUGUGAUUCGUCACACUAUCAUUAACUGAAUCCAUAGGUUAAUGAGGCGAACCGGGGGAACUGAAACAUCUAAGUACCCCGAGGAAAAGAAAUCAACCGAGAUUCCCCCAGUAGCGGCGAGCGAACGGGGAGCAGCCCAGAGCCUGAAUCAGUGUGUGUGUUAGUGGAAGCGUCUGGAAAGGCGCGCGAUACAGGGUGACAGCCCCGUACACAAAAAUGCACAUACUGUGAGCUCGAUGAGUAGGGCGGGACACGUGGUAUCCUGUCUGAAUAUGGGGGGACCAUCCUCCAAGGCUAAAUACUCCUGACUGACCGAUAGUGAACCAGUACCGUGAGGGAAAGGCGAAAAGAACCCCGGCGAGGGGAGUGAAAAAGAACCUGAAACCGUGUACGUACAAGCAGUGGGAGCACGCUUAGGCGUGUGACUGCGUACCUUUUGUAUAAUGGGUCAGCGACUUAUAUUCUGUAGCAAGGUUAACCGAAUAGGGGAGCCGAAGGGAAACCGAGUCUUAACUGGGCGUUAAGUUGCAGGGUAUAGACCCGAAACCCGGUGAUCUAGCCAUGGGCAGGUUGAAGGUUGGGUAACACUAACUGGAGGACCGAACCGACUAAUGUUGAAAAAUUAGCGGAUGACUUGUGGCUGGGGGUGAAAGGCCAAUCAAACCGGGAGAUAGCUGGUUCUCCCCGAAAGCUAUUUAGGUAGCGCCUCGUGAAUUCAUCUCCGGGGGUAGAGCACUGUUUCGGCAAGGGGGUCAUCCCGACUUACCAACCCGAUGCAAACUGCGAAUACCGGAGAAUGUUAUCACGGGAGACACACGGCGGGUGCUAACGUCCGUCGUGAAGAGGGAAACAACCCAGACCGCCAGCUAAGGUCCCAAAGUCAUGGUUAAGUGGGAAACGAUGUGGGAAGGCCCAGACAGCCAGGAUGUUGGCUUAGAAGCAGCCAUCAUUUAAAGAAAGCGUAAUAGCUCACUGGUCGAGUCGGCCUGCGCGGAAGAUGUAACGGGGCUAAACCAUGCACCGAAGCUGCGGCAGCGACGCUGAUGCGUUGUUGGGUAGGGGAGCGUUCUGUAAGCCUGUGAAGGUGUACUGUGAGGUAUGCUGGAGGUAUCAGAAGUGCGAAUGCUGACAUAAGUAACGAUAAAGCGGGUGAAAAGCCCGCUCGCCGGAAGACCAAGGGUUCCUGUCCAACGUUAAUCGGGGCAGGGUGAGUCGACCCCUAAGGCGAGGCCGAAAGGCGUAGUCGAUGGGAAACAGGUUAAUAUUCCUGUACUUGGUGUUACUGCGAAGGGGGGACGGAGAAGGCUAUGUUGGCCGGGCGACGGUUGUCCCGGUUUAAGCGUGUAGGCUGGUUUUCCAGGCAAAUCCGGAAAAUCAAGGCUGAGGCGUGAUGACGAGGCACUACGGUGCUGAAGCAACAAAUGCCCUGCUUCCAGGAAAAGCCUCUAAGCAUCAGGUAACAUCAAAUCGUACCCCAAACCGACACAGGUGGUCAGGUAGAGAAUACCAAGGCGCUUGAGAGAACUCGGGUGAAGGAACUAGGCAAAAUGGUGCCGUAACUUCGGGAGAAGGCACGCUGAUAUGUAGGUGAAGCGACUUGCUCGUGGAGCUGAAAUCAGUCGAAGAUACCAGCUGGCUGCAACUGUUUAUUAAAAACACAGCACUGUGCAAACACGAAAGUGGACGUAUACGGUGUGACGCCUGCCCGGUGCCGGAAGGUUAAUUGAUGGGGUCAGCGCAAGCGAAGCUCUUGAUCGAAGCCCCGGUAAACGGCGGCCGUAACUAUAACGGUCCUAAGGUAGCGAAAUUCCUUGUCGGGUAAGUUCCGACCUGCACGAAUGGCGUAAUGAUGGCCAGGCUGUCUCCACCCGAGACUCAGUGAAAUUGAACUCGCUGUGAAGAUGCAGUGUACCCGCGGCAAGACGGAAAGACCCCGUGAACCUUUACUAUAGCUUGACACUGAACAUUGAGCCUUGAUGUGUAGGAUAGGUGGGAGGCUUUGAAGUGUGGACGCCAGUCUGCAUGGAGCCGACCUUGAAAUACCACCCUUUAAUGUUUGAUGUUCUAACGUGGACCCGUGAUCCGGGUUGCGGACAGUGUCUGGUGGGUAGUUUGACUGGGGCGGUCUCCUCCUAAAGAGUAACGGAGGAGCACGAAGGUUGGCUAAUCCUGGUCGGACAUCAGGAGGUUAGUGCAAUGGCAUAAGCCAGCUUGACUGCGAGCGUGACGGCGCGAGCAGGUGCGAAAGCAGGUCAUAGUGAUCCGGUGGUUCUGAAUGGAAGGGCCAUCGCUCAACGGAUAAAAGGUACUCCGGGGAUAACAGGCUGAUACCGCCCAAGAGUUCAUAUCGACGGCGGUGUUUGGCACCUCGAUGUCGGCUCAUCACAUCCUGGGGCUGAAGUAGGUCCCAAGGGUAUGGCUGUUCGCCAUUUAAAGUGGUACGCGAGCUGGGUUUAGAACGUCGUGAGACAGUUCGGUCCCUAUCUGCCGUGGGCGCUGGAGAACUGAGGGGGGCUGCUCCUAGUACGAGAGGACCGGAGUGGACGCAUCACUGGUGUUCGGGUUGUCAUGCCAAUGGCACUGCCCGGUAGCUAAAUGCGGAAGAGAUAAGUGCUGAAAGCAUCUAAGCACGAAACUUGCCCCGAGAUGAGUUCUCCCUGACUCCUUGA
rnacentral:rRNA from 1 species